UAGGGAAUUUUCCACAAUGGGCGAGAGCCUGAUGGAGCAACGCCGCGUGAUGGAUGAAGGCCUUCGGGUCGUAAACAUCUUUUAUCUGUGACGAAUAUGACGGUAGCAGAUGAAUAAGGGUCGGCUAACUACGUGCCAGCAGCCGCGGUCAUACGUAGGACCCGAGCGUUAUCCGGAUUUACUGGGCGUAAAGAGUUGCGUAGGUGGCAUGGUAAGCGAAUAGUGAAAUCCUGGGGCUCAACCCCUUCAACAUUAUUCGAACUGCCAAGCUUGAGAACGAGAGAGGUAGAUGGAAUUGCUAGUGUAGGAGUGAAAUCCGUAUAUAUUAGCAGGAACACCGAUGGCGUAGGCAGUCUACUGGCUCGUUUCUGACACUGAGGCACGAAAGCGUGGGGAGCAAACG
rnacentral:rRNA from 1 species